rnacentral:misc_RNA from 1 species
GUCCAUCCUUUUUCAUCUGUUUCCUUGGCCAAGUUACUCCAUGUAUCCAAUAGUGAGUCUAUCAUCUCUUUAUGCGCAGCAUAUUGGAAUGGGGUCCAUAGUCUUUCAUCUGUUACUCCGAGUAAUCUUUUGCCUUUGUCCAUUAGCUUGUUUAUCAUCACCAAUUUUACUGAUUGACCUAAACUUAUGGAAGAGCUCUGCACUACUGCUGCAUGUAAUGCCGUUUUACCAUUGGGGCCGCCAUAAGUCGGUGAUAGUAGUUGUUGAUGACAUACCAGUUUAUCGAGUAUCUCAUAACAUCCAUUUUCAGCAGCCAGGUAAAUUGGAGUUUCCUCACAAUCAUUGGCAGAAUAUUUAAACCCAUCAUGAUCAUGAACUUCAUAAUUUAAUAUUUCUUUCACAACAUCCAGACCUUUUUCAUUUCGUGCGGCCUCAUGCAAUGCCGUUUCUUCAAUUUUAUUUCUCAUCCUUAACAUCUCCUUUACAGCUUUCAUUUCUUCCAUUUCCCUCUUUUUUGGAUCUUCUCCCCUUUCUAUAUCUAUUUCACGAUGCACUGACGCCUUUGCCCGUUCGAUUAGCUCUUUUGCUGCAUCAGUAUGCCCGCACCUGGCUGCAAUGUGCAGCGGAGUAUCACCGUGGUUAUUGACCUGCAGUAACAGUGACGGACAAAUGCCAACUACCUCUUUUAUAAAAUUGGUGGUUCUUUUUUUUGAAGAGGUAAGGUAGAUAUGUAAUAUUGUGUUUUCAUUUGGGGUCAGUAGGCAACCAAGAUUCCCCUGAUAAGCCUUGAAUGGAUCAAGUUUGCCUUUUUUGGCCGCCUCCUGUAAGUCUGCAUUAAUGUAGCGGUGGGUGGUCAUUGCAGCGUAG